GACAGAGGUCCCGAGCGUUAGGCGGAAUCACUGGGCUUAAAGCGUGUGUAGGCGGAUCGUUAAGUGCCUUGUGAAAUCCCGGGGCUUAACCCCGGAACUGCGCCUGAAACUACACGGCUAGAGUAUUGGAGAGGGUAGCGGAAUUCACGGUGUAGCAGUGAAAUGCGUAGAUAUCGUGAGGAACACCAGAGGCGAAGGCGGCUACCUGGACAAUUACUGACGCUCAGGCACGAAAGCGUGGGGAGCAAAAGGG
rnacentral:rRNA from 1 species